GGAAAGGCGCGCGAUACAGGGUGACAGCCCCGUACACAAAAAUGCACAUGCUGUGAGCUCGAUGAGUAGGGCGGGACACGUGGUAUCCUGUCUGAAUAUGGGGGGACCAUCCUCCAAGGCUAAAUACUCCUGACUGACCGAUAGUGAACCAGUACCGUGAGGGAAAGGCGAAAAGAACCCCGGCGAGGGGAGUGAAAAAGAACCUGAAACCGUGUACGUACAAGCAGUGGGAGCACGCUUAGGCGUGUGACUGCGUACCUUUUGUAUAAUGGGUCAGCGACUUAUAUUCUGUAGCAAGGUUAACCGAAUAGGGGAGCCGAAGGGAAACCGAGUCUUAACUGGGCGUUAAGUUGCAGGGUAUAGACCCGAAACCCGGUGAUCUAGCCAUGGGCAGGUUGAAGGUUGGGUAACACUAACUGGAGGACCGAACCGACUAAUGUUGAAAAAUUAGCGGAUGACUUGUGGCUGGGGGUGAAAGGCCAAUCAAACCGGGAGAUAGCUGGUUCUCCCCGAAAGCUAUUUAGGUAGCGCCUCGUGAAUUCAUCUCCGGGGGUAGAGCACUGUUUCGGCAAGGGGGUCAUCCCGACUUACCAACCCGAUGCAAACUGCGAAUACCGGAGAAUGUUAUCACGGGAGACACACGGCGGGUGCUAACGUCCGUCGUGAAGAGGGAAACAACCCAGACCGCCAGCUAAGGUCCCAAAGUCAUGGUUAAGUGGGAAACGAUGUGGGAAGGCCCAGACAGCCAGGAUGUUGGCUUAGAAGCAGCCAUCAUUUAAAGAAAGCGUAAUAGCUCACUGGUCGAGUCGGCCUGCGCGGAAGAUGUAACGGGGCUAAACCAUGCACCGAAG
rnacentral:rRNA from 1 species